rnacentral:rRNA from 1 species
GACGAACGCUGGCGGCGUGCUUAACUCAUGCAAGUCGAACGGAAAGGCCCUGCUUUUGUGGGGUGCUCGAGUGGCGAACGGGUGAGUAACACGUGAGUAACCUGCCCUUGACUUUGGUAUAACUUCAGGAAACUGGGGCUAAUACCGGAUAGGAGCUCCUGCUGCAUGGUGGGGGUUGGAUAGUUUCGGCGGUUGGGGAUGGACUCGCGGCUUAUCAGCUUGUUGGUGGGGUAGUGGCUUACCAAGGCUUUGACGGGUAGCCGGCCUGAGAGGGUGACCGGCCACAUUGGGACUGAGAUACGGCCCAGACUCCUACGGGAGGCAGCAGUGGGGAAUAUUGCACAAUGGGCGGAAGCCUGAUGCAGCAACGCCGCGUGCGGGAUAACGGCCUUCGGGUUGUAAACCGCUUUCGCCUGUGACGAAGCGUGAGUGACGGUAAUGGGUAAAGAAGCACCGGCUAACUACGUG